CAACCGCGAAGGCAUCAUUUUUGAGGAUUCCAGAAGUUGAACAGAAUGGAACCAGAGUGUUUUCACUUCCUUGUGGUCCUUUCGAGGUUGAUUCAAGCAGUGGAGAAAUUUUGUAAAUAAAGGGGCUACAGUUAUAUUUCAGCUACAUUGGAGAUGAAUAAUUUGUGAGUGUAUGGUUUCUCUUCUGUUCUUUGCCGACUCGAUACUUCAUAGUUUUGUCAGCAGUCUCUGGGUAUCCAUCGGUGAUAUCUAGAGAAGGCUAGAGGAAUUGGUAACAAAAUCAAUGAUCCAGGUUGAAUAAAAGAGCCGUCAGUCAUCAUUUUAUAUAGGUUAUAUAGCAGUUGAGUAAGUUGAAAAGAGAUACAAGUAUUUGCAUGUGAAAUAUUAUUCAAGCUUUCUAAUUUCAUUUUAUCUUGUUU